CUCUAAACUAAAGGCUGUUUUUGCGAGCUGAAAUAAUAAAUAAGUACCGGUGGCAUUUUCUAUGUGUCUCCAGGAAAUUAGAACCGUUCCAAAAAUUUAUCCCAUGAGGAUUUUCAAUGACUUGCAUUCAAUCUGAGAAAAAAGAAAUUGCCCUUGAAAAGGAUUUAGGAAAAGGAGAAAUUUUUGAGGAAUUCCCGUGGAUGAGGUUCACCUUACUUCUGAGGUAGGUGAAAAGUGUCAGUCAGGCCUUGUGACAGCUGGUAGCCUCCACAACUGCCCCAGAUGAAAAGCAUAGACAGAGAAGCUGCAGAGUGGUGAUGAGAUAGAUUAUAGAAAGAAAACCAACAAAACAAAAAUAACAAGGAACCCUUGCCUUUAUUUGCAUACAGAUAUACUGGAAAUUGUGUAGAGUUGAGAAAUGGUGCCCCAAAGUGGAUAGGUUGGAACUAGCCUCAGAGAGGUAAAUCUGAAGACAAGGGUGGGUGAUACCUUUAUUAAAUCACUAAAAGAUCACAAAGAUAAGCCAGCUUUUGAUUCCUACAGAAGUCUUCAUCAGGCUGGGCAUUACAGAGCUGGAGGUGAUGCAGAAGAAACAUAACAGUUCCAAAAAUCACAACGAGGUACAUAUGCCAGGUUGCUCUAUUUAAACCAAGUUUUAAAAUGUGAACUGCCUUCAGUUAAAGGGUUUCAUUUUAACACCAGGACACAGGUUAGAAUGUUAGAUAAAGGAUUCCCAACAUCUCAGGAUCAACUCCUCUCACUCUGUGUAAAAACACAGGGCUCCUUUUUAGCUGGGAACAGAGACUGAGGGUCUCCAUACUGGCAUAUAGAUAUGAUAUAUGGAUCACUGAUAGCAUGAUUUGGAUUGGGGAGGGGAUUGUGUCUGCACAUGUUUCUACUUAGAUCAAGCCAUCCUUACCCUUUAAGAGCUGUCACACACCUUUCUGGCCCAGCAGUAGGGCAUCCAUUCUUUUUGGCAUGAUUCAUUAGCUCAUUGUUUAGCGAGGAGACAGUAGCCUCCAACAGCCUCCGCUUCCAAUUGCCCUCCUAACUGCAGAUUCCAAGGGAAAGUGAGAGAAAACGUGGAAGGAGGAGGAUGGAAGGGAAGUGGGGGUAUGGUGAGAAAACAGAACAACACCAACAGUGGGAGAGAGAAAGGGGACAUGGAAGAGAAUAUUUUCACUUCGUCACUCCCCCUGACCCUCCACAGACAAUCUGGGGAAGCACUUCUUUGAUAGCUAAUUGGGCUAUAAGGGGUCCUUUGCUGUUGGGACAGAAGGAGUAUGUCAAAUGGCAUAUCACUUCUCCUCCUGAUCUCAACAGACCCUCAGGAGCCCAAUCCAGCCCACACAAAAAUGGCCAGUCUGGACAGAUUCACAGAAAGGUGACAAACCCCUUAUCAGAUAAGAUACCUUGAAUCACUGACUGGGGCAGUACCUAUUAUGUAACAGUUGCAGUAUUUUCUCAGUUCAUAGUCCUGCACAGGUGAUGUUAACAUCUUUACCCCACUGUAAGUACUAUUAUGUCUCUAUUCCCAAUCAAAAAGGCACUAUGCAUUUCUAUAUACGGCAAUGAGGUGUUGCUGAGUCACUGGCAAUCCUUGGUCCAACAAGAUUGGGAAGGAGAUUCUAAUCUACAUCCUAAAGGUGAAAUUUGAGAUCUGAUGCCUAAGCAUUGACCCUACAGCCCCCACUUUGGAAUUGGCUUUAAACACAGCAACCUGACAUGUUCGUCUAGGCAACCUUUUUCAUGCUGGGGACCAUAACAAUGUCUUAGCACAAUAUGCGUACGAACAGGCUGCUCACCACAACUGUUUUGUGCAUUGCCUGGUGUAUCAAAACAAAAUACCUCUGAAAGCUUUUAUUUACUGAGAAUUGUGCAGUAACUUCAAAGCAGACAAAGGAUGAGAAGGAUUCCAUUAGGCAGGUGAAGGAUUCUGAUAAGGAAACUCCUGGCUUAGCACAUAUUGAAUUGCAUGUAAAAUAUGGGCAGCAUAAUCCAAAUUAAGGGUGCAAAACCAUAUUUGAAGGAAGAGCAGAAGCACCCCAAGCCAUCUCACAGACUUCAGGAGUGUUGUCAUAUCUCUUGACUUUACCAGUUCCCUGACCAAACCAUUUGGUAGAACGUCUCUACCUGGUGCUUUGGGCAAAACCUUGCUUUUCUUUUGCUUUUCCUUCUCCACCCCCAUCCUGAGGAGCAGCAGAAAAAAAAAGAAAGUGCUCUCAACUAACAGCUGCUGAAGUCGGUGAGUGAAGACAUUCCAGUUAUCUCUGAUCAACAAUGAUCAGUGAUAAAAGCAACUUUUCUCCCACAGCUCAGCGAGCUACGUAUCUCACUGUGGAGACAGCGGGUGGGAAUCCAAUUCUUCACUGUCCCUCCUGCAAGUGUUGUAGAUUUAGCUAGUUUUAAUAGAUAUAUGUACCAGGUAUUUUAACAUCUUUCCCCGGGGUUCUGGACAGUUAUAUAAAUCUGCAUAACUGGAUUAAUAUGGCUACCAUUAGAAUAUCAUGUCUACCUACUAGCCUCAGUUCCCCUUCAGCAGAAUGGAAACUGUAUAAAUGCAUGCUACAGGAUUUGCAAAUAUUAAAAACUGUUACAUUAAGAGGCUAAGUGUGGUUUUCAGCUAGCCAAAUUGAGCAUACGUUGCCACCUAAAACUCUCUGUAAGUGGACAGCAAAUCAGAAAGGGCCAUUUGGGGGAAUACUUGCUCUAAUAAUAAUAAUCAUGUGUCAUCAAGUCAAUUGUGACUUAUAGUGGCCCUUUUCAGGAUUUUCCA